rnacentral:snoRNA from 1 species
UGUGCUCAAAGAACAGUGCGAUAGAAAUUCACUAUCUGGCAUCAUUGGUUUUCUUGGCUUUGGUGCCUAUUAAACCUGGUAUUUCUAUGGAUACAAUU